AUUGAACGCUGGCGGCAGGCCUAACACAUGCAAGUCGAGCGGAGCGGCGGACGGGUGAGUAAUGCCUAGGAAUCUGCCUGGUAGUGGGGGCUCACGUCCGGAAACGGGCGCUAAUACCGUAUACUAUCAGAUGAGCCUAGGUCGGAUUGGCAUGUUGGUGGGGUAAAGGCCUACCAAGGCGACGAUCAGUAACUGGUCUGAGAGGAUGACCAUCCACACUGGACCUGAGACACGGACCAGACUCCUCCGGGAGGCAGCAGUGGGGAAUGUUGGACAAUGGGCGAAAGCCUGAUCCAGCCAUGCCGCGUGUGUGAAGAAGGUCUUCGGAUUGUAAAGCACUUUAAGUUGGGAGGCGUUACCGACAGAAUAAGCACCGGCUAACUACGUGCCAGCAGCCGCGGUAAUAC
rnacentral:rRNA from 1 species